GACGAACGCUGGCGGCGUGCUUAACACAUGCAAGUCGAACGGAAAGGCCCUGCUCUUGUGGGGUUCUCGAUUGGCGAACGGGUGAGUAACACGUGAGUAACCUCCCCUUGACUUUGGGAUAACUUCAGGAAACUGGGGCUAAUACCCGAUAGGAUCUCCUGCUGCAUGGGGGGGGUUGGAAAGUUUCGGCGGUUGGGGAUGGACUCGCGGCUUAUCAGCUUGUUGGUGGGGUAGUGGCUUACCCAGGCUUUGACGGGUAGCCGGCCUGGGAGGGUGACCGGCCACAGUGGGCUUGAGAUGCGGCCCAGACGGCUACGGGAGGAAGGAGUGGGGAAUAUUGCAAAAUGGGCGGAAGGAUGAUGGAGCAACGCCGGGUGGGAGACGACGGUUUUCGGGUGGUAAACCGCUUUCGCGUGUGACGAAGCGUGAGUGACGGUAAUGGGUAAAGAAGCACCGGCAAAUUACGU
rnacentral:rRNA from 1 species